rnacentral:misc_RNA from 1 species
GAUGAAGAACGUAGUGAAAUGCGAUAAGUAAUGUGAAUUGCAGAAUUCAGUGAAUCAUCGAAUCUUUGAACGCACAUUGCGCCCGCCAGUAUUCUGGCGGGCAUGCCUGUCCGAGCGUCAUUUCAACCCUCGAACCCCUCCGGGGGGUCGGCGUUGGGGAUCGGCCCUGCCUCUUGGCGGUGGCCGUCUCCGAAAUACAGUGGCGGUCUCGCCGCAGCCUCUCCUGCGCAGUAGUUUGCACACUCGCAUCGGGAGCGCGGCGCGUCCACAGCCGUUAAACACCCAACUUCUGAAAUGUUGACCUCGGAUCAGGUAGGAAUACCCGCUGAACUUAAGCAUAUCAUAAGCGGAGGA